GAGGAGGGAGGUGAGGGGCAAGUGGGACCUGCGCUGCUCUCUGGUAUGGGAACGUCCGUGCCCGGAAAGGGGCCGUGGCCUGACAGGAGCAGAAGGAAGCUGUGGCUGCCUGAGCCUGAGCCUCAACAUGUGGAAGAGUUGGGAGAUACCCUGGGUGCCUGUGAGGAUAAAGGGAUCUGAUACACAUCUUAGGGCAAUGUGUAAUGUCUCUGUAGGAGGUGUGAAAGGAAUUGGGAGUCUCAUCUGCCUGGAGACAGAAACUCUGCUGUCUUUCACAUGGCAGGGGAGUGAUGAUGCAGCAGAGGAGCAGGUGAGUGAGGCAUGGGGCAGCCUCCUGAAAAGGCUACUUGCAGCCUCAGAUGUUUGCAAUGCUUGAGAAUCCUUGGCAAGCAUUAAAAACAUUAAACCCUGUAAGUGUUAGCCUGUGGUGUUCCAACAGAUCAAAAGCUCUCCUUUUUAAUCUAGGUAUACAAGAGUGGUAUUGAUGUGUAAAAGAGACUUGGAAAUGCCCCCCCAUCUCCUCUAUGAUAUGUAAAGGCUUCUAGAAAAUAAAACCAACU